rnacentral:pre_miRNA from 1 species
GGCUGUGAGUUGGCUUAAUCUCAGCUGGCAACUGUGAGAUGUUCAUGUAAUCCCUCACAGUGGUCUCUGGGAUUAUGCUAAACAGAGCA